AAAUAAGCCACAUUCCAUGGAACUCUUUGUUCUUGUGUGUUUAGGGGGAAAAAGUGAUACCUAUAAGCAGUGCUCUCCAAGCUUUAGUAGAUUUUUCUCUGUCUGCUGUAUUCAGGUGGCUUUUGUGCAGAGAACUGCUCCUUGCAGAGCAUGCCUUGCCCAACCCCAAGGUGGGAAUUAAGCUCUUUGCCUGAGAAGUGAUAUUAUCAGCUCUGCUCUCAAAGAAACCCCAUUGUGCCUGAAUAGAGCUGGAGUAAGUGGGGAUAGAGGCGAAGAGACCAUAAUGACUCCUUUUUGAAGCCACACAAAAGGCAGCCAGGACUUCAGCAGGAAACCUGAGGAGUUGAGAGGCAGCACCGAGGUCUCAGUGGACAUGGGAAUCAGAAUGGCCUGGGUUGAAAAGGACCACAGUGACCAUCCAGUUCCAACCCCAUGCUAUGUGCAGGAUCGCAAACCAGCAGGCCAGGCUGCCCAGAGCCACAUCCAGCCUGGCCUUGAAUGCCUCCAGGGAUGGGGCAUCCACAACCUCCUUGGGCAACCUGUUCAGUGCGUCACCACCCUCUGGGUGAAAAACUUCCUCCUAAUAUCCAACCUAAACCUCCCCUGUCUCAGUUUAAAACCAUUCCCCCUUGUCCUGUCACUAUCCACCCUUGUAAACAGCCAUUCCCCCUCCUGUUUAUACGCUCCCUUCAAGUAUUGGAAGGCCACAAUGAGGCCUCGUUGGAGCCUUCUCUUCUCUAAGCUAAACAAGCCCAGUUCCCUCAACCUUUCUUCAUUGGAGACUUCUACAGCUCUCAUGACUUUUGCCUUCCGCACUCCUCUGCAGCAUCCCAUGUCCUGUCCCAUACGUAGGACCAUUGCUGGAGUUACACAAUGAUCACGGAUUUGUCCCACUGCCAUUCCACCACAUGCACUACAUUCUCUCCUAAAUAUCUGUGCCCAGAAAUGAGGCUCUGUUUGUCUGUGGUGCCUGCAAGCUGUCCCAUGUUUUGCAUUGAGCUCUGGGUGCU
rnacentral:lncRNA from 1 species